rnacentral:rRNA from 1 species
GAUGAACGCUGGCGGCGUGCUUAACACAUGCCAGUCGAACGGAAAGGCUCCUGCUUGCAGGGGUACUCGAGUGGCGAACGGGUGAGUAACACGUGGGUGAUCUGCCCUGCACUUCGGGAUAAGCCUGGGAAACUGGGUCUAAUACCGGAUAGGACGAUGGUUUGGAUGCCAUUGUGGAAAGUUUUUUCGGUGUGGGAUGAGCGCGCGGCCUAUCCGCUUGUUGGUGGGGUAAUGGCCUACGAAGGCGUCGACGGGUAGCCGGCCUGAGAGGGUGUACGGCCACAUGGGGACUGAGAUACGGCGCAGAAGCCUAUGGGAGGCAGCAGUGGGGAAUAUUGCAGAAUGGGCGCAAGCCUGAUGCAGCGACGCCGCGUGGGGGAUGACGGCCUUCGGGUUGUAAACACAUUUCGCUAGGGACGAAGCGCAAGUGACGGUACCUGGAGAAGAAGCACCGGCUAACUACGUG